UACAGGGGGGGCAAGCGUUGUUCGGAAUUACUGGGCGUAAAGGGUCUGUAGGUGGCCAACUAAGUCAGACGUGAAAUCCCUCAGCUUAACUGGGGAACUGCGUCUGAUACUGGAUGGCUUGAGUGUGGGAGAGGAAUGCGGAAUUCCAGGUGUAGCGGUGGAAUGCGUAGAGAUCCGGAAGAACACCGGUGGCGAAGGCGGCCUGCUGGGCAGUUGCUGACACUGAGGCGCGACAGCGUGGGGAGCAAACAGG
rnacentral:rRNA from 1 species